UAAUACGGAGGGUCCGAGCGUUAAUCGGAAUUACUGGGCGUAAAGCGCACGCAGGCGGUUUGUUAAGCUAGAUGUGAAAGCCCCGGGCUCAACCUGGGAAUAGCAUUUAGAACUGGCAGACUAGAGUCUUGGAGAGGGGAGUGGAAUUUCUGGUGUAGCGGUGAAAUGCGUAGAUAUCAGAAGGAACAUCAGUGGCGAAGGCGACUCCCUGGCCAAAGACUGACGCUCAUGUGCGAAAGUGUGGGUAGCGAACAGGAUUAGAUACCCUGGUAGUCCACACCGUAAACGCUGUCUACUAGCUGUUUGUGGAUUUAAUCCGUGAGUAGCGAAGCUAACGCGAUAAGUAGACCGCCUGGGGAGUACGGCCGCAAGGUUA
rnacentral:rRNA from 1 species